rnacentral:rRNA from 1 species
UACGUAGGUGGCGAGCGUUGUCCGGAUUUACUGGGCGUAAAGCGCGCGCAGGCGGCAGUCUAAGUCCUCUGUGAAAUCACCCGGCUCAACUGGGUGGCUGCGGAGGAGACUGGGCAGCUUGAGGGGCCUAGAGGCCGGUGGAACUCCCGGUGUAGUGGUGAAAUGCGUAGAGAUCGGGAAGAACACCAGUGGCGAAGGCGGCCGGCUGGGGGCGCCCUGACGCUGAGACGCGAAAGCGUGGGUAGCAAACAGG